GUGGGGAAUAUUGCACAAUGGGGGAAACCCUGAUGCAGCGACGCCGCGUGAGUGAUGAAGUAUUUCGGUAUGUAAAGCUCUAUCAGCAGGGAAGAUAAUGACGGUACCUGACUAAGAAGCACCGGCUAAAUACGUGCCAGCAGCCGCGGUAAUACGUAUGGUGCAAGCGUUAUCCGGAUUUACUGGGUGUAAAGGGUGCGUAGGUGGCAAGGCAAGUCUGAAGUGAAAAUCCGGGGCUCAACCCCGGAACUGCUUUGGAAACUGUUUAGCUGGAGUACAGGAGAGGUAAGUGGAAUUCCUAGUGUAGCGGUGAAAUGCGUAGAUAUUAGGAGGAACACCAGUGGCGAAGGCGACUUACUGGACUGCUACUGACACUGAGGCACGAAAGCGUGGGGAGCAAACAGGA
rnacentral:rRNA from 1 species